GAUGAACGCUGGCGGUAUGCUUAACACAUGCAAGUCGAACGGUACCUUCGGGUAUAGUGGCGGACGGGUGAGUAACGCGUGAGAAUCUAUCUUCAGGUCGGGGACAACAGUUAGAAAUGACUGCUAAUACCGGAUGUGCCGAAAGGUAAAAGAUUUAUUGCCUGAAAAAGAGCUCGCGUCAGAUUAGCUAGUAGGUGGUGUAAGAGACUACCUAGGCUUCGAUCUGUAGCUGGUCCGAGAGGACGAUCAGCCACACUGGAACUGAGACACGGUCCAGACUCCUACGGGAGGCAGCAGUGGGGAAUUUUCCGCAAUGGGCGAAAGCCUGACGGAGCAAUACCGCGUGAGGGACGAAGGCUCUUGGGUCGUAAACCUCUUUUCUCAAGGAAGAUUCAGACGGUACUUGAGGAAUAAGCAUCGGCUAACUCUGUG
rnacentral:rRNA from 1 species